rnacentral:rRNA from 1 species
CCUACGGAGGCAGCAGUGGGGAAUAUUGGACAAUGGGCGAAAGCCUGAUCCAGCCAUGCCGCGUGUGUGAAGAAGGCCUUCGGGUUGUAAAGCACUUUCAGUGGGGAAGAAAGCCUUGGGGCUAAUACCCUCGAGGAAGGACAUCACCCACAGAAGAAGCACCGGCUAACUCCGUGCCAGCAGCCGCGGUAAUACGGAGGGUGCGAGCGUUAAUCGGAAUUACUGGGCGUAAAGCGCGCGUAGGCGGUCUGAUAAGCCGGUUGUGAAAGCCCCGGGCUCAACCUGGGAACGGCAUCCGGAACUGUCAGGCUAGAGUGCAGGAGAGGAAGGUAGAAUUCCCGGUGUAGCGGUGAAAUGCGUAGAGAUCGGGAGGAAUACCAGUGGCGAAGGCGGCCUUCUGGACUGACACUGACGCUGAGGUGCGAAAGCGUGGGUAGCAAACAGGAUUAGAUACCUGGUAGUC